ACAUUCGCUCUGGGUUUUGCCUUAUCCACUCCCGGUGAGACUUCAACAGUCUCUGAGGCCGAGGAAGGCUGGCCCUGAACUCCUGGGCUCCAGUGAUCCUCCGGCCUCAGCCCUCCCAGCAGCUGGACCACAGUGUUGAGACCGUGCCCAGCUGGGAUGAUGUCUGUGUGAUCAGAUGUGUUCCUUGUCUGUCCUUCCAUCACCCUCCUUUCCUGCAAUCCAGACCUCAGAGCACGAGGGGCCCUGGUGUGGAAAUCCCUGCCCACACCCACGUCCUGAGAAGCCUAUGCUGAGUCCCUGCCCUUUCCAAUCCUGGGGCUGCGUCUUCAAGACCACGAGACGUCAUGGAGCCCGAGGCUCCUGUCCCUUCCAGCCUCUCUUGUCCUCACAGCUCCGUCCCCCGACACUCCUGGAGGUGUCACCUUUGAUGGCCACAUUCGUGGUCCUGCUUCUGUGUGCUGGGGAGUAGCCAUGAGCACUGGCAGGGACACCACCCCAGGUGGCAGUCGGCUAGGACCGCUGAAACCCAGGCGGGGGCAGCCUGAGUGAGGCUCCGGCUCCACGAGCUCCACAGGCUCCACACCGUGCUUCUCCCACUAGUGCGCACUUCUCGGC
rnacentral:lncRNA from 1 species